AUUGAACGCUGGCGGCAUGCCUUACACAUGCAAGUCGAACGGCAGCACGGGAGCAAUCCUGGUGGCGAGUGGCGAACGGGUGAGUAAUAUAUCGGAACGUGCCCAGUCGUGGGGGAUAACGUAGCGAAAGCUACGCUAAUACCGCAUACGAUCUAUGGAUGAAAGCGGGGGAUCGCAAGACCUCGCGCGAUUGGAGCGGCCGAUAUCAGAUUAGGUAGUUGGUGAGGUAAAGGCUCACCAAGCCGACGAUCUGUAGCUGGUCUGAGAGGACGACCAGCCACGCUGGGACUGAGACACGGCCCAGACUCCUACGGGAGGCAGCAGUGGGGAAUGUUGGACAAUGGGCGAAAGCCUGAUCCAGCCAUGCCGCGUGCAGGAUGAAGGCCUUCGGGUUGUAAACUGCUUUUGUACGGAACGAAAAGGUUUGGCCUAAUAAGCUGAGCUCAUGACGGUACCGUAAGAAUAAGCACCGGCUAACUACGUGCCAGCAGCCGCCGUAA
rnacentral:rRNA from 1 species